AACGAACGCUGGCGGCAGGCUUAACACAUGCAAGUCGAACGCCCCGCAAGGGGAGUGGCAGACGGGUGAGUAACGCGUGGGAAUCUACCUGGAACUACGGAACAACUGAGGGAAACUUCAGCUAAUACCGUAUACGCCCUACGGGAGAAAGAUUUAUCGGUUUCAGAUGAGCCCGCGUAAGAUUAGCUAGUUGGUGGGGUAAUGGCCUACCAAGGCGACGAUCUUUAGCUGGUCUGAGAGGAUGAUCAGCCACACUGGGACGGAGACACGGCCCAGACUCCUACAGGAGGCAGCAGUGGGGAAUAUUGAACAAUGGGCGCAAGCCUGAUCCAGCCAUGCCGCGUGAGUGAUGAAGGCCUUAGGGUUGUAAAGCUCUUUCAGUGGGGAAGAUAAUGACGGUACCUGAAGAAGCCCCGGCUAACUUCGUGCCAGCAGCCGCCAUAAGAC
rnacentral:rRNA from 1 species